CCCGGGCGACCGGCGCACGGGUGAGUAACACGUAUGCAACCUGGCCGCCACAGGGGAUAACCCGCGGAAACGCGGCCUAAUACCCCGUGACGCCACCGGAGGGCAUCCUCCGGUGGCCAAAGGAGCGAUCCGGUGGCGGAUGGGCAUGCGGCGCAUUAGCUAGACGGCGGGGUGACGGCCCACCGUGGCGACGAUGCGUAGGGGUUCUGAGAGGAAGGCCCCCCACACUGGGACUGAGACACGGCCCAGACUCCUACGGAAGGCAGCAG
rnacentral:rRNA from 1 species